rnacentral:rRNA from 1 species
CUUCCGCCGGCGACCGGCGCACGGGUGAGUAACACGUAUGCAACCUGCCCCUGUCAGGAGGACAACCCGCCGAAAGGCGGGCUAAACCCGCGUACAUGCCACCGGGGCAUCCCGGAGGCAGGAAAGGCUUCGGCCGGACAGGGAUGGGCAUGCGGCGCAUUAGGCAGUAGGCGGGGUAACGGCCCACCUAACCGACGAUGCGUAGGGGUUCUGAGAGGAAGGUCCCCCACACUGGUACUGAGACACGGACCAGACUCCUACGGAAGGCAGCAG